UCAAGAGGCUCCAUGCCAAAAAAAAGUUAGAGAUUGAAUAUUGUUCAAAAAUAUAGUUUAAUUAAGAUGGCUGCAGUUCCAUGCAAACGCCAACUUGUUCUUGUUGCUUUUAUGUUGCUUUGCUUUUUCUCUGUUGGAGCCAGAGCACGCAGUUUACGGGUGAUCAGUACUACAAGCCAUGAAUCUCAGACGAGCCUGCAUGAUGAUAAGUUUUCACCAAAAGAAGAUAGGGCUGCAGACAGCGAUGAUUUAGUGGCCGCUGCGGAUUACACACCGGCAACAAGGAAGCCUCCAAUACAUAACUAAAAUGCAAUUAAUUAUUAAAUAUUGUUCAACAAUCUUCGAUUUAUUAAGAAAUUGCUUAUUUUUCCUAUA